UGAAACAGGUUGGAGGCGAUUACUGAUCACAGGAAAACCUCCAUUUAAACAAAUAUAAUAAUAAUGUGUAACAAAAAAAAAAUUUGUGGAUUUUUUGCUUUAACAACAUUUAAACAACAUUUAAAAUCAAAAUGUUUUCUAUAUCAGUCAAGUUGAUUCACCUUAUUAAGUUUGUAAUGCUGCACAUCCACAGUACCUUAGAGGGGGGAAAAGCAACAUUAUUCCAAUUGAGGAAGCUGAGAACACAUUUGUGUUUAUUUAAUCAAAAAUAUGAUAAUAUAAAGAGCAAUAUAAAAAGUCACUCCUGCCAACAUUUCUCUGAGUUAUCAUUCUGGAGAAAGACAGCAAGCCAGAGGACAGUGGGGAGGUUUAUUCAAACACUUUGGAUAUUUAACAGUCAUCUCUGCAAAGACUGGAAGCACUGAAGACCAUGGCACGUCUGAUUCAUCUAUCAUUACUACUAGCAGUGAGCCUGCUGCCCUGUGUUUCAGCCAUACGAGACUUUCCAGAUGGAGGAAUCAAAUUUACUCCCUAUCAUCUGUGCCCUGUUGGAGGGAAUAUUACACAUGAUUGCAAUUGCACAGCUGGAAAGUGGAUAUGGAAAUUUAAAUGUUGUGGGCCCACUGCUAACCAAGUCACACUGGAAGCAACUGCCACAGCCAAUUACACUGAGACAGAGGACUGUACUAAUAAAUGCCGUAAAAUCACAUACAAAACAAAAAUGUUUGUUUUGUCUGUGGAGGUAGAAAAUGGUAAGAAAUCUAAAAUUCACAACACAUUAAAAAUGAUUUUAUUGCUGGUUUAAAGUCGGCUGACUGACUUUAAAAUGAAAUCUAAGAACUUUAAAACCUGAUGCAUAUUAUAUUGUUUAUAGAUGAGCAUUCAUGUGUUUUGUUUCCAUGUACCAGGGUAUUUAAAUCAUACGAGUGACAAUAAGAUCAUUUGUGAAUCUUGCUCUGGAACUUCAACUACUGCCGGCACAAAAUGUAACAGCUUUAAAAAAAAAAAGUAAAUAUAUUUAUAUCAGUUUUUAAAUAUGAUGAUGAAGAAGAUGCAGAUUGGUACCUCAUAGGCAAAAUCAUGUUUGCCACAUACUUUUAAAACAGCUUUCUGUUUUCUUCAACAGACAAAAGAUACAUAUCUCGGUUCCUAAGCAAAACCAAAACAGAGUAAAGCUCAAAUUUCAGAGGUUUCAUCAACAACACCGUGUUAGCGACUGUAUAGAGGCUCACACAGGCGAGUACUUUCAUCAACACGAUCAGCCUUUCCUCCAAAGAGCAGCUUUAAGAAUUUAA